UACAGAGGGUGCAAGCGUUAAUCGGAAUUACUGGCGUAAAGCGUGCGUAGACGGUUACAUAAGUCGGGUGUGAAAGCCCGGGCUCAACCUGGGAAUUGCAUUCGAGACUGCAUGGCUAGGGUGCGGAAGAGGGAAGCGGAAUUUCCGGUGUAGCGGUGAAAUGCGUAGAUAUCGGAAGGAACACCAGUGGCGAAAGCGGCUUCCUGGUCCAGCACCGAUGUUCAGGCACGGAAAGCGUG
rnacentral:rRNA from 1 species